AUUGAACGCUGGCGGCAUGCUUUACACAUGCAAGUCGAACGGUAACAGGCCGCAAGGUGCUGACGAGUGGCGAACGGGUGAGUAAUGCAUCGGAACGUGCCCAGUCGUGGGGGAUAACGCAGCGAAAGCUGCGCUAAUACCGCAUACGAUCUAUGGAUGAAAGCGGGGGACCGUAAGGCCUCGCGCGAUUGGAGCGGCCGAUGUCAGAUGAGGUAGUUGGUGGGGUAAAGGCUCACCAAGCCAACGAUCGGUAGCUGGUCUGAGAGGACGACCAGCCACACUGGGACUGAGACACGGCCCAGACUCCUACGGGAGGCAGCAGUGGGGAAUUUUGGACAAUGGGCGCAAGCCUGAUCCAGCAAUGCCGCGUGCAGGAAGAAGGCCUUCGGGUUGUAAACUGCUUUUGUACGGAACGAAACGGCUCUGGUUAAUACCUGGGGCUAAUGACGGUACCGUAAGAAUAAGCACCGGCUAACUACGUGCCAGCCGCCGCCGUAAAAC
rnacentral:rRNA from 1 species